rnacentral:lncRNA from 1 species
AAUAAGACGCCGAGUUAUAAUCAGGACCUAAGGCCGUGCCAGGCCGGGGUUAAGUCACACACCCUUACAGUUAAAGAAUAAGGCUUGGGUUUUCUUUUCCUCUAGCAGUUAAGCAGGCACUGGCCUGAGACAAGCGGUAUGGAAACAGUGAUGGCUCGCUGCCAGGCACUAACUGACCCCCCAUUUCACGGCCAUAACUACAGCGUCACUUUCCAUAACUUCCUCCUGAUAAGACACCACUGGCCACGGACUGGUUCUGCUGGUCUAUGGAGGAUGUGACUGGAGUGACUCCCGGGCCGCGCCUCACCUUUGGCCAUAUAGGGCCUAAUUGUCUUACAUGUAAAUGUGAAAUCUCACCUCUCAGUGAACAUGGGUCCUGCGUUACAUGCAUGUUUAUCUAGUACACAUGCAUUAAGACAGGAGAGAGGAGCGCUUGAGCCCAGGAGUUCAAGACCAGCCUGCGAAACACAGCAAGACACCCUUUUUACCAAAAAAUAAAAAUAAAAUUAGCCAGAUAUGGUGGCAGGCAUGUAGUCCUAGCUACUUGGGAGGCUGAGGCGGGAGAGUUGCUUGAGCCCAGGAGUUCAAGAUGGCGGUGAGCUAUGAUUGCACCACUGCACUCCAGCCUGGGCAACAGAGCAAACCCAUCUCUAAAAGAAAGAAAGAAAUUUUAAAAAGGAGGAAAGGAAAGAAAGGAGAAAAGAGGAAAGGAAAAAGGAAAGGAAACUGUUCCCAUUAAACACUAACUCCCCAUUCCUCCCUGCCCCCCAGCCCCUGGCAACCACCGUUGUCUUUUCUGUCUCUAUGAAUUCGACAACCCUGGGAACCUCAUGAGUAGAAUCAUACAGUAUUUGUCCUGUUGUGAUGAGCUGCUUUCACUUAGCAUAGUGUUUUCAAGGUUCAUUCCUGUUGUAGCAUGCGUCCAAAAUUUCUUUUCAGGACUGUAGAAUAUUCCACGG